rnacentral:lncRNA from 1 species
CUGGAAGACAUAGUCUGGAAGAAAGAUUUUAACUACAUGUUAUUUUGGGACAUUCUACAUGUGGAAGUUAAUGAGGAGAAGCAAUUUAAUUAUUUUACUGCUGACAGUCUUACAGUGGCUUCAUGUAUAACCUCCUGUUUGACAAAUAAAACAACCUGCUAGAGAAAACUUCAACACAUUGUAUCUUAAUACAGUUCCAUGUUAUAUUAAAAUCCAUUUCGCAGCAGCAUUAUUGCAGCCGAGUAGGAGUGCUAUUCUGGAGAGUUAAUGAGAGGAGUUAGUGGCCUAUCAUUUCACAUCCUAAUUCAUUCCACAUUUAUUUCCCCACAUGGACAAGCCCUUAAUCAAACAGCUUUUUUAAAUUUAUUUGUGGGCAACUGUUAGAUUAUUUCAGCCUGUGAUUAAUGGAAAAUGAGACAAAUAGUAGCUUCUAAACUUGGGCACCAUGAACAUGCCACAGCAAUUAUCUCUUGGCUGAGUCUCGGGAGGACUCCAGAGCCCUGAGUCUUUGAAUGCUGCUCAGCCUUGGCUCCUGGGUGGCUCCUGGGUGCUCCAGACCUGUGCGUGGGUCCCUGGGGACGCUGUGGGGUGGGCUGGGUUUUGGCUGGGGGUCCUCUUGCCACCAGUGCCCAGGGAGAUGAGAGCUGGCAGCGCCGUUUCUUUUUGGGCCCUCUCAAUGCUGCUGGGACUUUCUCCACCAUGUGGGACCUUGUUCCCACAGCUCACUGCCGACACCAAAGAGCACAGCCAGGACCAGAAGGCAGAGCUGAGCCAGUGCAUCCUGCUGCAAGCUCGCAUCUACCCAGAGGAGACGAUCCUGUUCCUGGAGUCCCAGCUGGGCCACGAGAGGGAGGCCAUGCGCGUGGCAGCCCUGGGUCUGCUCGGUGCUCUGGCACGCUGUGACGAGCCCGCGAUGGCAGAGAAGCUGCCCCAGGUCGUGGAGGCUGUCAAGCGUGUGUGCAGGGACCCCAGCAUCCGGCUUUCCAGGGCCCAAGCAGCACACCCAAGCGUGGAGAUGGCAGACAAGGCCCUCUGUGACUGUGGCACCCUGUGGGCAAUAAAACUCUGUAUGUGGUCUCACCGCUCACUGUGUCCUUGGGGAAAUCCAACUCAACGUGGCCUCACCUCUGCAGACAAAGGGUCUUUUUUGUAGGGCCAGGGGGGCAUGUUGGGGCCUGUGGGGAAAAGCCUGGCAGGAUGAACAAAUGGGUUCUGAAGGAGUUGGUGGACCUAAGCGUGAGGCCUCCCAGGGUUAUCCAUCAAAUGUCACCGCGAUCAGGAAAGGCUGCUGGCAAAUGGGAGAAAGCAAACAUCGCCCCUCUAAAUUGGUUUCUCUAAAACUUCCCUUAAAAAGAAACUGCUUGCCACUCCUGUUCCCAAUGUGUACAUUUUGUGAGAAGCACAGAGAACGUAUACUACUAUAACCUAGAUCUUAACUUUUUCCCCCAGGUUUCACUAAAGAGCCCUUUGCACCCUUUGCACAUUCCAGGAACUCAUCUUGGGCAUCUUUGGAAAACUGCUCUCCAAAGCAGUUCUCAACAUGCGCUUCUGGGAUGGUUUUACUCGGGUGGGCAGCUGAGCUCCACCACAACUGCUCUCUCACUCCCCCUCCUCCAAGAGGAACAGGGAGAAAAGAGGAUGCAAAGGGCUUGAGGGUUGAGAUAAGGACGGGGAGAUUGCUCAACAAUGAUCGUGACAGGCAAAACAGAGUCGGGAGACAGUCACAUUUAUUGCCUAUUCCUAACAAUCUAGAGAAGCGAGAAACAAAGGAAAGAAAUCAAAAAUGCCAUCCACCCUCUUCCACCUCCUCCCCCCAAGCAGCGCAGGGGAACAGGGGAAUGGGGGCUGUGGUCAGUCUAUGGCACUUCAUUCACUUCUCCUUCUUGGUCACUCUUGUCCUCUGUGCUGUGGAGUCGCUCCCAUGGGAUGCAAUCCUUCCCAAACUGAAAUGAAAUUCUUGGCAAAGAAAUUCUUGGCAAAGAAACCAAGUCAGAGGAUUAGUAUUUCUCA